UCCGUAGGCGGGCUAAUAAGUCAGUAGUGAAAUCCCACAGCUUAACUGUGGAACUGUUAUUGAUACUGGUUUUCUUGAAUAUAGUUGAGGUAGGCGGAAUGUGUAAUGUAGCGGUGAAAUGCUUAGAUAUUACACAGAACACCGAUUGCGAAGGCAGCUUACUAAGCUAUGAUUGACGCUGAGGUACGAAAGCGUGGGGAGCGAACAGGAUUAGAUACCCUGGUAGUCC
rnacentral:rRNA from 1 species